AGUGUCUACAUCGAUAAAGAUCAUAUUUGGAUUAAAAUUUGAAGCUGUAACUUAAGGUUGUUAUAGUUUCUAUAGUGUAAAACAUAGCAAAUAAAAUGUCUUUUUUUUGAGACAGAGUUUCACUCUUGUUGCCCAGGCUGGAGUGCAAUGGCGCGAUCUCGGCUCACAACAACCUCCGCCUCCUGGGUUCAAGCAAUUCUCCUGCCUCAGCCUCCCGAGUAGCUGAGAUUACAGGCAUGUGCCAACAAGCCCGGCUAAUUUUGUAUUUUUAGUAGAGACGUGGUUUCUCCAUGUUGAUCAGGCUGGUCUUGAACUCCGGACCUCAGGUGAUCCACCUCCCUCAGCCUCCCAAAGUGCUGGGAUUACAGGUGUGAGCCACCGCGUCUGGCAAAUGUCUUAAUAAAUACUAAACCUAUGGACUAAUAGAAAUGGUUUAAUAAUCCAUAAAUGACACAAUAAUAACAAACAACAUUUUAAAUAAAUUUAAAUAUGGAGAUCGAUUUUAAUGAGAAAAAAUAGACUUAUUGGAGAAAUCAAAUGUGUCAAGUUUGAAACUGUAAAUAUAUACCAAUAAAAUAGAAAUUUAGCACAUCCACUACAUAUCAUUGUAAUGGUUAAUUUCAUGUGUCAGUAGGCUACAGUGCACAUAUGUCUGGUCAAACACCAGUCUUAAAGUUCCUAUGAAGGCAUUUUUAAUGGAAUUAGCAUUUCAAUAGGAAGACUUUGAAUAAACAGAUCACUCUCCAUAAUGUGGAUGGGCCUUAUCUAAUCUGUUGAAGGCCUAAGAAGAAAAGACUGAGGUGCCCCAAGGAAAAAUGGAAUUCUGUCUCCAUACUGCCUUCAGAGGAAAUAAGAAGAUAAAAGAACAAGGCCAACAUCACAAUGAGGAAACAAUCACACAUAUUCAAAAUGUUGGACAUUCUCCAAGAUAACCAGGGUGGAAUAAUCAAUGUCAUUUGAAAAAAUGAGCAGACUAUUUCAUAUCAGAAAAAGACUAUGAAAGAAUAAAGGAAUAUCAUAGCUGUGGUGCUGAGAACAUAACCUACUCCCAUUGGUUUCCAACAACUGAGACCUUGAACAGUGACUUCUUAGCUGUAAAUCCCAGAAUCUUCUGUUUCAAAUCAAUUCUUCAGGAAAAAGAGGACAAAAUAUAAACCCAAGUGGAGAGAGUACUAAAAGACACAAGAUUUUUUUUUAGAGAAUUUAUCAAUCUAAUAUGAGCAAUUAAUUAUUUAUGAUGGUUCCUAUGUUUCACAGAGAAGUUGAAGAAAUAAGAUUAGAACCAUCUUAUGGGCUCUGGGUAAGGCUCUGCAAUCUUUCACCAUUUUUGCUUUAUUUAUUAUACCAAGUAGCAUGACAGAUGUUUGCAAUUUGACUUGAACAUUUUCAUUGUCUUUGCUUUUUUUGUUUCUUUCUUUUUAAAAAUCCAUGGUUUUUUAAUUUCCUUUUCAAUAUUUGCAUCCUUUUAUGGAAUAUAAGAGACCACUUAUAUGCACAAGAGUUAUCUCUUGUGGGUCUCACUAUUAUUAUCAUCAAAAUGCCUGAAAUUACCUGUGAGGGAACAUUAUAAAGUAAAUGAUAAAGAAAUAAUUUAAUGUUACACAUUAGGUAACCUCUAGGAAUAUAUGCUGGAACCAUAGGAAGACAUUGGGCAGGAAGAACAAUAAAAAUAUUUGGAUUGGAAGUAAAAAUGCUAAUCUACUUGUCAGAAAGGUCAUGUCUACAGUCAACAACUGUUCAAAUAGAAGCUUUAAAGCGAGGCUCAGCACACUUUUCUGUAGAGCCAGACAACAAAUAUCUCCGGCUUUGUGGUCCAUAUGGUCGACACUGCAACUACUAGAGUCUGCCAUUGUAGCACGCAAACAGCCAUAGACCAUAUGUGAAUGAAUGGUGUGGCUGUGUUCCAAAAGCCUUAUUUACAAAAACAAGGGAAGUGUUAGACUUCUUCAGAUCUUGGUGUGCUAGUCCUUGCUUUACACAACUAAGAUGAGUGUGAACUAUAUUUCAAAUAGAAGUGAGAGCCCCAAAGGUGGGCAAACCAUUAUAGUAAGAUGGUCAAGUUGCCUAGGCAGGGGCAAUUUAGACAUCUAGACAUCAUAAUUUUGAGUGAGCUAUCAAUUUAUUCAGGCAGGUUUUCUAAGUCUUAGAUUAAAGGGGUAGGUUGGAAUUUAGGGUUAGAUUCUACCUCACUGAGACAAAAUGAUACAAAUAAAAAGUUCAUGACAAGGAUAGAUAAAGACCGUGAACUUACUAGAACAUACUAAGUACAGCUGCUCAUAGCAACAAGGUUUAUUUCAGAUCUUACCUGUUGCUAGCACCAUAUAUUACUCUAACAUGCUUGCUCAAUUUGCUGUCCCAUGGAAAAAAUAAUUGGUUGAGAACUAGUCAGAAGAGUCUUUGUAACUACUUUAAGGACAAAAGUAAUGUUGCUGUUGUGUCCUCAAUAUAUAUAUACAAUAGUGCCUGGAACACAAUAGACAUUUAGUGAUCAUUCCUUGUGUACCUAGAACUUGAUACCUAUUAAAUAUUUUUCUAGUAGAAGUUUGUAAAUUAAUACUACAGGAUUUUUAGCAUUUAUUCUUUUAUAAUAUUAUAUAUAAAAUUUUACUGAUAGACAAUGUCUUCCAGUUCUUUAUACUAUCCUUUGCCACUUUAAUUCAAAAGCAUAUUAAAUUAUAUUUUAUAUUAAAAAUUUAAUUCUAAGAGUAAGAAUUACAGUUAUAAAAAUAUCCCAGGUGAUCAAAGAUAUGGAGCUAUUGCCUAAUGACAGACAUUAUAGUAUAGUGGUGAAUACAGAAAUUUAAUUUUUCAUCUCCUCCUGUCACUCCCUCUUAAGACAUUUUAGGGUCACCCUCCAUGAGGUAGCAGAUUCAUUAGCUUCUACUUUAAAUCCUGCCUCAGAGUAGAAAUCAGUCAGCUCUGUUGAGGGAAUUCCUGAGCAGAAAAAAAUAUCUUUCUAGGACAUUAGAGAGCAAUUGAGUAUUUAAAGAGUCAUUCAAAGAAGAACCUUCAGUAAGCAUUAGAGUAAGCAACUUUACCUAUAUUUUUUAAAAAGGAGAGCUGAGUCAACUCAGGCAAAAGAAAUUGAAUAUGUCAUUUUAAAGAGUCUCAAUAUAACAGAAAUGAAAUGUGUCACUAAUCCACCUUGCCAGCUUAUACAGCUUUUGAGAGUGAAAGACUCUUAGUAAUGACAUUGAUUAUUAUUAAAUGUUAGUAGCUCAGUGUUGUAGAGAAUAUAAACAGCAGUAUUUAUAGACUCUUGGUAAAAUGUAUUUUAACUUUUUAAAGACAUUGCAGAGUUGGCUAUCUUCUCUAACACAACAUAUUGUAGAAUUGUCAUUUAAUAUUUCGUAGAACUAGCUAGAGCAACUAUUCUUUCUUAAGUGGCACAUGUUCAUUUUCUGUAUUUUCCUCAUCUUUACCACCUGCUAGCAGUGUUUCAGGCAACAAAACAGCAGUGUUCUCACCAGACAGUAUAGCCUCCUCCAAAAUGGUAGCAAUCCCAAAGAUUCACAAUAAAACAAAACCUUUAAGACUAUGAUAAAUGGUUUUUAUUUCUUUUUUAAAAACAGUUCUUCCUUUAUUCUUUAAUCUUUAAACACUGAGUUGAAAUGGAUGAUUGAAAAUAUUAUUUGGGGUAUAUUGUUGUACACAUAAGAGAGUAAAUUUUAAGAGCUGAAUUAAAUUUCUCACUCUACCUUUUCUUUCAGUUUAUUUUUAAAUAUAUAUAUUUGUAGAAGCAGUUAUCUGCCAUCCGGAAAUUAAUUCUCAUUUUCUUGGAUUAUUUUAUGGUGACUACUUUCUAAGUAUUUUAUCCUUUAGUGAACAAAUGGUCUUUCUUUCCAGUUAGAAGGUGAUCCUCAAUAAUUAUGUUCUUUUCUUUAACCAAAACCUUGUUUCAAUUAUGACAUUUUGUUGAUAUGUAAAAAUUCUGAAGAAAUAAAAGCAAAAAAUAUUGAAUAAUAAUUUUGUUUAAACAACAUAUUUAGAAUAUUGAAUGACCCUGUUUAAACAAUAUAUUUAGAAUGUCUUAUUGGUAGAAAAUGUCUUCAUG
rnacentral:lncRNA from 1 species